rnacentral:snRNA from 1 species
AUACUUACCUGGCAGGGGAGAUACCAUGAUCAUGAAGGUGGUUCACCCAAGGUGAGGCUCAGCCAUUGCACCGAGGCUGUGCUGACCUUUGCGAAUUCCCCAAAUGUGGGAAUCUCGAUUGCAUAAUUUCUGGUAGUCGGGGACUGCGUUCGCGCUCUCCCCUG